rnacentral:rRNA from 1 species
CCGCGGCCUAUCAGCUUGUUGGUGGGGUAAUGGCCUACCAAGGCGACGACGGGUAGCCGGCCUGAGAGGGUGACCGGCCACACUGGGACUGAGACACGGCCCAGACUCCUACGGGAGGCAGCAGUGGGGAAUAUUGCACAAUGGGCGCAAGCCUGAUGCAGCGACGCCGCGUGAGGGAUGACGGCCUUCGGGUUGUAAACCUCUUUCGCCAGGGACGAAGCGCAAGUGACGGUACCUGGAUAAGAAGCACCGGCUAACUACGUGCCAGCAGCCGCGGUAAUACGUAGGGUGCGAGCGUUGUCCGGAAUUAUUGGGCGUAAAGAGCUCGUAGGCGGUUUGUCGCGUCGUUCGUGAAAACUCCACGCUUAACGUGGAGCGUGCGGGCGAUACGGGCAGACUUG